AGCCACUCUCCCAUUCCCAAACCUCGGAAAGACAGUGGGAUAAAAUAUAAUGAAAACAAACAAACAAACAAACAAAACCCUCAUGAGUUGAAGUAAGGACAGGGGGAUGUCUCACCAGUUACCAUCAUGGGCUAAACAAACUCAAUGUGAGAAAGAUUAGUAUAAUUUAUUGCAUACUGAUAGAGCAGUGAGAACUAAAAGCAAUCUGAAAAUACCUUGCCCUCACCCACACUCUUCUGCCUCCUCCCCUCAAGCAGUACAGGGAAAUGUGGGUUGAAAUCAGUCCAUAAUGCCUUGUCUCUGCCUCUCCUUCAUGGUCACUCUCUUCUCUGCUACAGCCACCCACAGGAUGCUGUCCUUCCUGAACUGAUUUCUUUAGGUCUCACUCUGUUUUGCAAACAGAACAUCAGGAACCAUCUCUGCUUGGAAAGCCACCAGGAGGAGGCUUGGCCUUCCCAGAAGUGCACCAACAGCAGCAAAGAGUCUCUUGCAACCACUUAGCUACCUCUUUCUGCUCCGCAGCUGGGAUUAAUGCCCAAUUCUGUGAGCAUUUUUCCUCUUCCUCCUGUUUGCUCCACUGCAAAGUCAGACAGCUUAGUAUAAACUCCCUUCAAAGAAGCAUUCCAGCUGCUGAAUCAGCUGAGAAGACAAAGAGCAAGGCUGGUGUGAAGCCCAUUCUGGAGCAGUGGAAACCAACAAAAUUAAAACAAACAAACAAAAAAUAUAUGAGGAAUCUGCACACAGGUGAGUCUAUAGUACGAUUGUAUGAUAUAUUGAAACCCCUUUUUUGUGUAAUGUCUGGAAUUUCACUUGCUAUUUUUGUAGCAAACAAGAAGGUUGUGGUGUACGCAACUGAUACAGGUGAGAUCUUAGAUAUAGUUGUCAGCAAAAUCACCUGUUCAGUAACUUGCAUGAAAAAAGAAAAUAAAUGAGAGUGGGAGCUGCACACUUCCUUCUGAAUUAGCCUUCACUUCAGUGAAACACAUGGUUGCUAUUUAAGAAUAAUAGUAGUGAAGAAGGUUAGGCCCAGAAACUUAUUUGAAGUCUUAUGUGUAUUCACUGUCCAGACGUAUAAGAGAGGAGACGGACCUCAAGUAGAUGCUCAGUCGUGUCAGAGAAUCUCUGUGUUUUUUUGGGAAUGUUUCAUUUUGGUGAUCUGUAUGGGCGAACCUUGAAUUGUGAGAGAGGCUUGAGGGUAACAGCCAACCUUUCCAUUGUGUAUGAGUUUCACUGACACACAGAAAGCUUGAGGUACUUUCAGCAGUUCAGCUAAUUACUCAUGCAACAAUUAUAAACCUUUCAAUGUCAACAGUACCUGCAACCCUGAAUUUAUAUGAGGCUAUUUUUAUUUCUAGGGGAAGAGUAUUUGCAGUAUUCCCUUUAAGAUGCCCUAAAGCAACGUUUGAAUGUUUGCAAUGUGGGGAACUUCAAUUUCUUGGCACCAACCAUAUUCCAUGAGUUAGACUGUCAGCAACCAGUCAGUGAUUAUAUAAUCUGACCUGCAAAGCCUUUUAAAAAAGGCAUUUAAAACAAAAUACCUAAGAUCAGAAAAUGUAGACACUGAAAAGCUUUUAUGGUGCUAGAAUAAUCAUUCAAAUUCUGUUCUAAAAGUAGCAAGUAUAGCUUUAAAUGUAUAUCUAUAUAUCUUCUUAACCUUUAUACAGGCAGCAGGAGCACUGCAAGAUAAAUUUACAUUUCAUAGUGGGAAACAAACCAUCCCACAAAGAUACGAUAAAUCAUCAGAGGAACAACGAGGUGCCAUGACACAUGCAUAUGUUUUUCUACAGUCACAUGAAAUGAAGAUACGAGGCACAGAACCCAAUCUCCAUCUCAAAGAUUUGUUAACCAUAACCAAGCCUGUCUGCAUAAAGAGCAGCCUUGCUGAAAUUUCAAGUAUAGACUUUUUUUUUUUUCCAACAGUAGUUCCCCAAUUCUUUUUUUUUUAUUAAUGUGUCUUGGUCAAUCCACUAACCUAGUUUUCAAAUCACAAGGAUUCUUAAGACUUUGUUAUAUAGGCACAAGGGCAACAUAGACUUACUUCUAGUGAUAUUUUGAUUACAAGGAGGAAAAAAGGCUGCAAUUUUAGCAAAACAAGUUUUGUAACAAGAUUAUUCAUUCUGGUUCAACAUCACUGACUUUUGUGAACAUAGACGAGAAAGAAGUUUGGACAAAUCAGUUUGUAGAAACAAAUGAAAAAUUCACAUAGAAAUAUUAUUUUGAUCAAGAAGUAAUUUCCAUGAAAGCAAACAAACAAAUUCCAUAUAAAAACAUGUUGAUUUCCUCCUUUUUUUUUCUUUUUUCUUUUUUUUUUUUUUUGUUUUUGUUUUAAGUUUAUUUUUUUUUUUCCCCAUAGAAAACCCAACAAACGCAUUUUAGUUUGGCUUUGUUUGACCCAAAUUAGGGUAUGGGGGAGGGGUGUUGAAAACUGAGCCAGAUUGUUUCAAAUCAACUGGCUUGGCAUAAAACUACAUUUCCUACCAAUGCUUUUGCUUUGCCAAUCAUAGCUUCAAUUCCCCAUCUCUUUUGGGCCAGCCUCCCUAGAAGACCAUAUAUCCUAUAAAGUAAUAAAUGGAUUUCACUGACACAUGGCUUGUCUACGAGAUAAUUAAUUCUCAGUAAGCGAGGAUAUGAAUUUACAGUGUACUAGCUAUGCUGCACUGACUGUCCAUAUGGACAUUCUAAUUGCAUUGUGGCUUACUCUAUCUAAAGAACAUUAAGGAUAUAACUACGCAGGCUCGUUACUAGGAAGAAAGCGAGGAUAAGGGUUUACUACUCUCUAUGGCACUAGCUGCUAUGCUUGAAUUGCCUUGGUGAGCACUCCUUUCUUGGAGUAAUGUGACAGAGCCCUGAGUAUCCAGGAUGGACUUGCUGUAGACUAAUUCUGUAAAUUCAGAACCUGAGCUGGCCUCUACAGGGAAAUAUUGAUCCAUAUGAUGCAUCAUACUCCAGAAUAUGAAGCAGCUUACUUGCUCUGCGCACUUUCAAUUCCCUCCUGUGUGCCACCAUAUGGAAGAGAGACACGUAUAGAUUCAUCCCUUCCCAAGAUACAAUUCAGUAUGCAUCCACUGAUCAAUCUCUUCAGUUUUUCAGAACAUACUGCAUGAGGGUCAUGUUCAACACAAUUGCCUUUUCCUUGCUGUGGUUUGAUUCUUCCAAAAUGCCUAACCAGUUUGAGCAAACUUCAGAUGAUAACUGUUCAGGUAAUUC
ensembl:lncRNA